rnacentral:rRNA from 1 species
GACGAACGCUGGCGGCGUGCUUAACACAUGCAAGUCGAACGGAAAGGCCCCUUUGGGGGUCCUCGAGUGGCGAACGGGUGAGUAACACGUGAGUAACCUGCCCUUGACUUCGGGAUAACUUCAGGAAACUGGGGCUAAUACCGGAUAGGAAUCCUUGCUGCAUGGUGGGGGUUGGAAAGCUUCGGCGGUUUUGGAUGGACUCGCGGCUUAUCAGCUUGUUGGUGGGGUAGUGGCUUACCAAGGCUUUGACGGGUAGCCGGCCUGAGAGGGCGACCGGCCACAUUGGGACUGAGAUACGGCCCAGACUCCUACGGGAGGCAGCAGUGGGGAAUAUUGCACAAUGGGCGGAAGCCUGAUGCAGCAACGCCGCGUGCGGGAUGACGGCCUUCGGGUUGUAAACCGCUUUCAGCAGGGGCGAAGCUUGUGGUGACGGUACCUGCAGAAGAAGUACCGGCUAACUACGUG